UAGAAAGUAACACAUUGUACUGUACUUCAAAACUAUAUAAUAAUUUGUUUAACACCAAUAUAAUAAGUGAUAAACCAAUUCUAUUUGAUGGAAAAAACAUGACAAACAGUUCAAUUUGAGUAUGGAAACCAUUAGUCCACUCAAAGGUGAAAAACUUUUUAUCACUUCUUGCAAAAGUUUCUAAGAAUUUCUAAGAACCAAGCUCUAUUUAAUCAUGAAGGAAAAACAACGUUUUGUCUUUAUGAUUUGCAAGAAAAAAUUGUCACAGCUAGAAAUAUCUUCAGAUCAGAAAAAGAUAGUGCAGACAGUGAUUUUGGAAAGUGUUGUUGUGUUUCCGUCGGGACGGUGGAUCUAGGUUGCAGUUGAUCUGGAUUUGACGAGAACCAUCUUUGUCUCUUUCAAGUAAAUAAAGAUUUUUUUUAAAAAAAAAAAAUAUAUAGACUUGAACAUGUUAUUCUAUGUGUACCUUUUUAAUUGGUUGGGACCAAAAAUGAUGUGUUGGUCCAAUGACCACACAAGAAUAUCUCCCAAAGAAUAGUGCCAGCGUCAGUUUUUAGCUUUGAUCCAUUCCUUAAUUUGUUUGUUCCAUGAAGCAGAGCUAUGGUUCCGUUCCCUUCUUCCUCCGCAGCUUCUGUUUUCGUCUCAAUU
rnacentral:lncRNA from 1 species